rnacentral:rRNA from 1 species
GAGUUUGAUCAUGGCUCAGGACGAACGCUGGCGGCGCGCUUAACACAUGCAAGUCGAACGGGCAGCUUCGGCUGUCAGUGGCGGACGGGUGCGUAACGCGUGAGCGACCUGCCGGGCCGCGGGGGAUAACCCUGGGAAACCGGGGCUAAUACCGCAUGCGCUCCUUGUGCUGCAUGGCACGGGGAGGAAAGGGGCUUCGGCUCCGCGGUCUGAGGGGCUCGCGGCGUAUCAGCUGGUUGGUGAGGUAACGGCUCACCAAGGCGACGACGCGUAGGGGGUCUGAGAGGAUGGCCCCCCACAUUGGGACUGAGAUACGGCCCAGACUCCUACGGGAGGCAGCAGUGGGGAAUCUUGCGCAAUGGCCGAAAGGCUGACGCAGCGACGCCGCGUGCGGGAGGACGGCCUUCGGGUUGUAAACCGCUGUCAGCGGGGACGAAUCCCCCGGGGAGGCAAUGCCCUGGGGUUGACGGUACCCGCAGAGGAAGCACCGGCUAACUCCGUGCCAGCAGCCGCGGUAAUACAAGGG